CAGUCGAACGAGUUCUCGUUGAUGAUCGGUGCUUGCACCGAGAUUCAACAUGGAACGAGUGGCGGACGGGUGAGUAACACGUGGGUAACCUGCCCUUAAGUGGGGGAUAACAUUUGGAAACAGAUGCUAAUACCGCAUAGAUCCAAGAACCGCAUGGUUCUUGGCUGAAAGAUGGCGUAAGCUAUCGCUUUUGGAUGGACCCGCGGCGUAUUAGCUAGUUGGUGAGGUAAUGGCUCACCAAGGCGAUGAUACGUAGCCGAACUGAGAGGUUGAUCGGCCACAUUGGGACUGAGACACGGCCCAAACUCCUACGGGAGGCAGCAGUAGGGAAUCUUCCACAAUGGACGCAAGUCUGAUGGAGCAACGCCGCGUGAGUGAAGAAGGCUUUCGGGUCGUAAAACUCUGUUGUUGGAGAAGAAUGGUCGGCAGAGUAACUGUUGUCGGCGUGACGGAAUCCAACCAGAAAGCCACGGCUAACUACGUGCCAGCAGCCGCGGUAAUACGUAGGUGGCAAGCGUUAUCCGGAUUUAUUGGGCGUAAAGCGAGCGCAGGCGGUUUUUUAAGUCUGAUGUGAAAGCCCUCGGCUUAACCGAGGAAGCGCAUCGGAAACUGGGAAACUUGAGUGCAGAAGAGGACAGUGGAACUCCAUGUGUAGCGGUGAAAUGCGUAGAUAUAUGGAAGAACACCAGUGGCGAAGGCGGCUGUCUGGUCUGUAACUGACGCUGAGGCUCGAAAGCAUGGGUAGCGAACAGGAUUAGAUACCCUGGUAGUCCAUGCCGUAAACGAUGAAUGCUAGGUGUUGGAGGGU
rnacentral:rRNA from 1 species